ACCGUAGCGAAUUUCUCGGUAAAAAAAACCCCGAGUGGCACUUCUUUAUUUCCGAAUUCCCGGCACUUUUGUUUUACAUUUUAUUUCCUGGCUGACAUAAUCACGUGCGUGAUGACGUCAGCACGGGGAAACAGCCUGCCUGAAGCUCAGUGUGCAUGCUUUUCACAUUUCCGUCUGAAAUGCGCUCAAAAUCCUUGGCGGGAAUAACUAAAGUGAGCAAGGCAUCUUUCAUGAUGUAUUGAUGGAACAGCCAUUUGAAGCUGUACUGCGAGCGAGGCUGGCGUUUGAUGGACAAAGCAGAGUGUUGCGUUGCUGCAGCUCUGUUUGAUAUGUUGCUAACUUGCUGCUGACUGGAAAGGCUUCAACUUCUUUUCGUUGAUGAAUAGAUGACUGUUUGGUUUCGACUUAUUUUUCUACCUGAAGGAGCACUGAUUUAUAUGAACUGAUUGUAAGAUCUACAUGUGGGGAUUUGAAAGAGAGAAAAUACUGAAGUUCAGAAAAUACAGUGCAUACUGAGUUGGACAGAAGAUACUGAACAAGGUAAAGGGGGAGUAAAAACUGAGCAGUAUUUCAAGCAUCAAAAUAUAUGAAGGAGAAGAAAGUACUGUUUUUAUAACUGGUGGUUCUAUGGGUGUGCAUAUAUUUAGUAUGAUCUGUUAAGUCCAUGAGGUGGACUUCUUGAAGAAGGUACUCAAACUUGGAGACUCGGAUGAGAUUAAAAAAGUUGUUUACAGCCACAGCCCUCCCGUGACAACUUGCAACACUGCGGCAGCCAACCAAAGAGGAUGGUGUGUCAAUGCAACGACAUCACGUCAAGUAGAAAUAUUUCCAUAUCGUUUCCUGGUUUUAGUGGCGUUGCAGCUUGUUCAAAGCUACUGUACUUGAGACUUUUAUUGUCUUACCGUUUCCGAUAUCCUGCCCUUGCAAUCUGUGUGAUAUACUCCUCAUUAGUGAAGGUGCUGCCAUUUAUUCUAGCCAGUACUGUAAUCUGCUUGAAAUACUCAAAAUGUACUUGCCAAGUACUAGGAUGUAAAGUAAAUGAGCAACUGGUAUUUAAAAGACAUCAAAACAAACUUUAGAAACAAAAUAUGACCAAUAAACACCAUCAAAAGGCACACCAUCAGUACUAGGAUUCCUGCACAUGUCUGAGUUCUUCAUUGUGUGUUCCCAUCAUCAGCUAUCCCCUUUUAUGCAGGAACAAUCCUUGUUUGGACAAUUGUUCCUGAGGGAAUAUAUGAAAAAAUAUCCUAAGUUAUUAGCCAAAAAUAUUUCCCAACUUUCCACUAAUUUGUAUAAAAGACCUGCUUUGUAUUUGAAAAUGUUACUAUUAAAUGAAACGGUACAACAAUUAAAUUCUA